AACUUCAGGAAGGGAAUGAGCAGCCAGAGCAGAUGGACUCCUUUGAAAUGAAGAUCCUGUGUUCAUGCAAAUGCUGUGAAUGAUAAAAGGACAAGAGGGAGAAGUGGCAGAAAUUACACAAUAGAAAAUGGAGCCAGAUGGGAAUGAUAAGACUGCCUGUGCAUUCACUUCAUUCAAAGCUGCAAGCUGCACUGAAAAGGAUGCAUAUUUCUCUGUGCUCUGAGACAUAAUACAGCCACAGCACACAAAUCUUGAGGGAUUUAUGAGCAGCUCCAAACUCACCUCUUGACUUCAGCUGGAGACUGGGCCGCGUGUUUGAGUACCAGGAUCUGACUGGUAAUGUCCUGCACAAAUGAAUUUAGAGAUUUUCUCAGCUUGUAUUCAUAUUCUACAAAAGCAAUCCAGGUUACAGGGUCUUACGUAAAUUGCUCUUUCAUGGUUUAUCAGCCCUGCUGUUUCUAAGAGCCAGGCUUAGGGACUACAGUUAUGAAAAUAAACUGCUAUAAACAAUCGUCCAGUAGGUUAAAACUAUAAGCAUUUAUGGAGAAUGGAAACUCUUCUAGAAACUUCUAAUCAUCAUUGUCUGUCUGUGUAAAAGUGAUCUCUGACUAAAUAAAUGUCGGGAAGUGGAAAUAAUAACAUAUAUUUUUAUGACUUUUUAAUUAAAUAAAUAAAGAUAUGCAUACACGAAGUCAUACCACAUGAAAAAUUCAACCACUCAAUUCUCCUGCUACUAUUUGCUAAGGGCACUAUAUCUUCACGCCGUACUAAUUCCAAAGUCCCAUCUGUAACAGAAGAGGAGCCCUCUCAUUUGCCCAAGCAUCACAUCCACUCAUUCAGUCUUCUAUUUUCAGGCAUUUAUUUUAAUCAGUGGGAAACCUCUCAGCCUCAGUUCUCUAUUACAAUAUAAACUCUUUUUGCUGCUUCUUAGAACUUCCAACACAAGCACAGAGUUCAGUUCAUUUGGAAAAUCAUGUUUAGUUCAAGAAAAUACUGCAUAUAGCACAUUAACUUUAUUUGCUGCAUUUGUGUUCAUGUGUUUCUACCCAUCUCUACCUGAUAAACAGAUAUUUAUUUCACUAGAGAGAUAGCUAAAUAAAGAUACAACAAUUGAGGUUCAUGUUAUCAGUGAAAUUGGAGGAAGUAGCCCCCAACAUUUAUAACCAGUGGAAAUUAAGUUAUUACAAACAUUUCAAUGCAUGACAAGAAGAAAGAAUUAUAGAAUUGUUUGAGAUGGAAAGGACCUUAGACCUGAUCUAUUUUCAAGCCCUCACCCCCCUGCCACAGACAGGGAAGAUCUCUUGCAUCCUCAAGCACUUGUAUAAAUUUUGGCAACUCUAUAUGCUAUUCACCCCCUAAAUUGCUAACUUAAUGUUAAAAACAAAGACAGUGAGGAAUGGCUGCCUGCAGUGCUGAUAUCAAGCAUGUAUCUGUCUGAAAUAAGAUAAAAAAUAAUUCCAGCAUUUCUAUCAAAAUGAAAACAGCAAGGAAAUAAUCACAAUGAGCAAUAGGACAUUUUUUAGGAAUCAAUACCAAUAUCAUGAUUGGACAAUGGUCUCCCAAGUAGUUUCAGUCUGUUAAAAAAAUCUAAUAUGUGUUAUAGAGUGAUUUGGGAUCUUUAAAGGCUCAUAACCUUGAUUAUUUAAAUUCAAAUAGAUAAGAUCACAGUGGUAUUUGGAAACAGAAAUAUUGUUCAUAAUUUUAGGCCACAGUGACAGAUACUAUGAUUUUUUCCAGUGAGGUAAAUUAUCUGUGUUUGGUGAAACCUAGAUAAAUCAAUGGUCAAAACUGUCUUAAAUUCCAGCUUUCUUUGUUCUGUAUGGGCAUGUCUAAAGAUAUCAUAGACUAUGAAGUAAGGAGAAUGCCCUGAUUGACAGAAUAACAUAUUCCAUCACUGGAUUUUUGCUAUUAUUUUUGUUAU